UUAAGCGAAAGGCCACGGGAGUGACAAAAUGCUGACAAAUUUUUCAAAAUGUGAGCUUUUGUCACUUUUUUGAGCUUUUGUCAAAAUUUUGUGACCUGGAGCAGCCAGGAAAAAAAGUUGACAAAAGUUGACAAAAUUUGACGUUCGUGAAAAAGCGUAAACAAACAGCUAUUUGGCGCAGUUGUGACCCAUUGUUAUGAUAAUAAUGCUAAAAUGCAUGAUUCUAAUUGAUUUAUGUACUUAUUCCGUGCUUCUGAAACAAAAUAUCGAUGAUAUUCAGAUGUUGGAGCUUUCUGUCGCUCUUGUGUAUGUUUUUGGUGCGGCCACGAGAAAAGCUCUUUUUUGCAGUUGACAAGCAAUUUUGACAAAGUUUAAAAAUUUUUCAACAUUUUUUCAGCUCCUUGGCCACGCGCUAAUUGGGACUUCCUAGCCAGACAAAAUUAAGAAUUUAACCGUAGUGUCUACGAUCAAAAGAAUACAGUCUGUUUUCGAGUUACCCGGCGUUGUUGUUGUUGUUUAUUUAUUGUUUAUCAAAUCGAACAUGUCAAAUCCCAUAUAUUUCUCAUGUUCGAUGUUGUGUUCGAUUGCUGCUAGAGCGCUGCCUUACGCGGUUUGUGCGUUCCCGAGGAAUCCGCGUAACUCGAAUAUCCGUCCCGCUUGGCAAAGAGUAUUAGUAACUCAUUUUGAUGCCUCUCGCUACCCCUGGCCCUAGCUUUGAAGGAAUCAUGCGACACACUCGCACUCCACUACCCCAUCCCAUGGAAAAACGCUCCCACCAUUGAGGUGUUGACCAAAAUUUCGCUGUGUGCAUGAGACACACACUCGCACUCCUCCCGCCCUCCACAGCUGAACGCUCCCACCGUUGCGAAGAUGGGAGAAUUUUUGCUCUGAGCGUGAGACCCUGAAGCGCAAGAGAUGACACUAUGUGUGAAAGACAGUCAUAAUUCGAUAUGGUCAAAAUGCGCCGAUUGUCGUUUCAUUUAUCUGGUAAUGAUGUAUUCACUUCAUCAAAAUUUUAAACGUUCACAACUAGGCUGAUAACAAUAUUUGAAAUUUAAAUCAGAAUAAAAUCAAUUCAUUUGAAGUAAAAUAAAUACCAUUAUACUUUAUUUUGUCCAUAUGAUCAACACUUGUACAUAGUGCCAUUUACUUUGUGUUCUUCACUCUCGCGCUGUGUUGUGAUCGUUCGAAACUCAUUGCCAGAACGAAUGCAAAUCUCAUUUGGGAAGGAUUGGUGCCGGUAGAUGCAGCGAAAAUUAUUAAAUGAUAAUAGAAAAGUGGUUAAAUUAAUCGUGAAAGAUGUCAACGCAGGCGUAAAUGCAGUAUGUUUUGUUACAUGAUCUACGGCUAUUUCAUCACCAAAGCUUCUGAUAACAGAUCAAAGGAGAUGGAUAGGGCAUACAGAGUCGCCAUUUAACUUAAAAUAUCUUCUUGAUCGGCAAACACAUCAAACACCAAGUGUUUCUCUUCCAACAGCACGCGCCAUCGGUGGAGCAAGCAGCCAACGUUUUGAUCGCCAGUACGCGCCAUCAAGAAUUGAAAUAUUCCCGAAUAGCUCUGUGAAUAAAAAACUGCACACUUACUGUCGGAA